CCAGCGACUCAUCCCAGCAACACUCCUCCACUUCACACCACCCUGAGACACUCCGUCGACCCCUGUCCUUCUCCAGCAACCAGGUGAGAAAAGAGCUCAGGAAGAUCAAGGCCAGGAAAGCAGCCGGACCAGACAUCAGCAUCAGUUUUCUAAAGUCCUGCACAGGCGAACUGUGUGGAGUUCUGGAGCAUCUCUUCAAUCUGAGCCUCAAGCUGAGGAUGGUACCACCGCUCUGGAAGACCUCCUGCAUGGUACCACAUGCCAAAGACCUCAGCAGCUUCAGACCAGUGACCCUCACGUCCCAUCUGAUGAAGACACUGGAGAGACUGGUCCUGGGUCACCUCUGCUCUGCGGUGGGAACCUACCUAGACCCUCUGCAGGAAAGAGAAGGAGGGGUCUCCACUGAUCCAGCUGUCCGGCUAGCACCUCCACCUGCUGCAUAGACAGGAAUAACUGACUUUCCUCCAUCAGUGCAUCCACAGAACGAACCUCGGCACUCAAAUUUUGACGGAGAAUCUAGAGAACAAAGGAAACAGA